rfam:TPA: Bos taurus chromosome 12, whole genome shotgun sequence.
UUCCUGGUGGUCCAGUUGCUAAGACUCUGAGUUCCCAAUGCAGGGGGCCUGGGUUCGAUCCCUGGUCAGGGAA